rnacentral:lncRNA from 1 species
CAUAACCUUACCAUUUUGAGGAAGAUCGGCAUACUUGUUUAAAAUAGCAGCCUUGGAGAGAAGAGGUUCAACGUCGUAUUGAGACAUAUUGAAAGUAAAAGGGAAAAAAAAGGUAGAAAAACAAAAGAUAAAAAAAAACGAAAGUCUAGAGAACGGAAAUUUGAAAACUAGCAACAGAAGAAAACCCCGUUACAAAACAAUAGAUCGAUUACUGUAAACCAGGAUUAACAAAAUUUGUCAACGAUCGAAAAACCGAGAUAAGGAUAUCGAACGAAGUAUAUUAAUGAAGAAUAAAAAAAAAGUAACUUUAAACCAAGGCAACAAUUAUACCGAGUUUAAUCUAAAUUACCGUGUAGAGAAGAAGAAAACCCCCCAAAAAAAAUUUAUAUGUAUAAAAUAAAAUAUGUGUAGGAGCGUGAAUUAUAUAUGUUACUAGUAAAAGCAAAUAUAUAACAGCGUUUUUUUCGUUUUACACAAUCAAAUCUUUCUUUACAAAUCUAGAAGAAAGAAAGCCGAACAAACGAAACGAAACGAAACAAAAAAGGGUGGAAAUUUUUUUUUGGCUUCGAAAAUGUUAUUUGGAGAAGAGUAAGGUGACUCGCGCCUUCACUUUAUAUACCACGACCGGUUAAUUGCACCUCGUCCUCCAACACUCCGUUAACGAGGAAACCGGCGUAGAUAAAGAGUUUGGGGUAAGGGUUGCAAUAGAUGGGCAGCAUUUGAUUGGGGGGUUCUUGUCCAGAAUGCAAGAUAUCACAGAUGAUUGGAAGUAUGGGCCAAUCAUGGAGCGAAUGAAUGAUAUGGAAGAUAAUUUAUCUAGAAUGAUUGGCGGAAAAGGCGCCUAAAGAUAGUGCCAGGGAUCGCCUUUUUUCCAUUUUUUUAUCAUGAAUUAACCCGGAAAAGCUGGACACCGCAAGUCAUCGUUGCUGCAAUUACGGAGAUUUUCGGAGCGCGUAAAGAGCGAGAGAGAGAGCAGGCUGGGUAUGAUGGGUGCUCAUGUGUUCGCUUGCAUGUAUGAGCAAAGCAAAGGGAGAGUUGAUACACACACACACACACACAGAAAGAGAGAGAGAUAUAGAGAACGAGGAUAUCAGUUUAAAGAAAUGAAGCUUCAUAACGAGUUGCCUUGAAGAUAUACAUUGCUAUUACUACGAUUGCAUGUUGUGUAAUUAAAAUUAACAAGGUGUCAUUGUAAAUAAUCAGUUUAUCUCAAAUGUGUGAUAGUCUAAAUUUACUUUUGCUACUAAGUAGGUAAUUAGGUUGGGUUGCUUUAUCUCUAGGUAGGCAGUUCUUCGUUGGUAUUCUAGAUACCCCAACCAAGUGUGGACGUAUGCGACGAUGAUAAUAGUGGAUAGGAAAGCUAGACGCUGACUAUUCAGCGUGUUUUAAUUUUAAUUUUUUUUUUUUUAGAUGAGGAGGGGCUUCUUAUCAGGAUUCAAUGAAGCUAUGUGUUGCCAGCUGUUGACUAGACUAACAUUGAAGUAACAAUACCAGGGCACGACAAGUUCCAUCAAGGGCAUGUCUUAACACAGUCAAUAUGAGUGAGGUUAGCAAUAAGAACGAGGUUAACAAAAACUGUAGAAUGAAAACAAAGAGUAGCGCAACAAAAUAGAGAAGAGCGAUAGGGUCGCUGAGAUAUUGUUAAUGCAUUCAUAUAGUCAAACGAUGGAUAGAAACGAAAAGAUUGCUGAUAAAUCGCAUGGAUCUUUG